rnacentral:rRNA from 1 species
AUUGAACGCUGGCGGCAGGCCUAACACAUGCAAGUCGAGCGGGGUUUUCGGACCUAGCGGCGGACGGGUGAGUAGUGCGUAGGAAGCUACCCGAUAGAGGGGGAUACCAGUUGGAAACGACUGUUAAUACCGCAUAAUGUCUACGGACCAAAGUGUGGGACCUUCGGGCCACAUGCUAUCGGAUGCGCCUACGUGGGAUUAGCUAGUUGGUGGGGUAAUGGCUCACCAAGGCGACGAUCCCUAGCUGGUUUGAGAGGAUGAUCAGCCACACUGGAACUGAGACACGGUCCAGACUCCUACGGGAGGCAGCAGUGGGGAAUAUUGGACAAUGGGCGCAAGCCUGAUCCAGCCAUGCCGCGUGUGUGAAGAAGGCCUUCGGGUUGUAAAGCACUUUCAGUAGGGAGGAAGGGUGUUGUGUUAAUUGCACAGCAUUUUGACGUUACCUACAGAAGAAGCACCGGCUAACUCUGUGCCAGCAGCCGCCGUAAAAC